CGUUUUUCUCUUUCAUUUGUGCGGCACUGUAGAGAUAAGGGAGUGAGGAGAUAGCGAGGCAGAGAGAGGAAGAGGCGCUCGGGGCAGCAGAGCGAUUCCUUGUUGUUCAUGUCGAUUCCGAGAUCCCCCACCAGUGGAGCUUGAUUUCUCUCUCCUUCCUCUUCGAUUCCCCCCUCCUGCUGUUUGUUGGUCUCUCAAUUUCCCUCUCGAGCGCGUGUUUUUUUGUUCAUUUCUCGGUGCGUAGCUUCUAGGGUUCGUCCUUUGGUGUGUUGGUAGCUUUAGGUGUGGUUAGGUUCCUCAUGUGGGCUGUGCUAGAUGCAAUGCGCAUGUCCUCUAUGGCCUGUGAGUGUCUGUAUGUGCUUUUAAGUCCUGGGUGAUUGAACUGCAGGUUUAGUGUUACUGUAUAUCCCCCUAGUUUCAGUGUUAUGUACCGUAGACUUACUGCAUUUUUUGCCCCAGACUGACUGUAAUCCCUGUAGUUUUGAAUGUCAUAUACUAUGAAUUUGCACUAGUCACUGUGUAAUUCAGCCCAUACUUUCAAUGUAACUCACUCUAUAUUUACUGUGUAUUUUGCCUCAUUUUCAGUGUAAUUCACAGUAUUAUUUCUGUGUUUGUUGCCCCAUUUUCUGUUCCUGUAGUUUUAGUGCUUCUGUUUUCUUUUGCCCCAUUUUCAGUGUAAUUCACUCUAGUUUUACUGUGGUUUUUGCCCCAGUUUCAGUGUAUCAGUGAAAGCACUAGUAUUUUGCCCCAUUUCACUCUAGAUUUACUGUUGUAGUUUCAGUGCAAUUCGCUAGGUCAAAUCUCUAGUAUUUUUUGCCCAAUAAUUAUUGUGUCCUGUUUUCCAGUGUAAUUCAAUCUACAGUUACUGUGUAAUGUAUCCCGGUAGUUUGAGCUCUAGAAUUACUGUGUAAUUUAUCCCGUAGUUUGAGCUCUACAAUUACUGUGUAAUUUGACCUAGAAUUACUGUGUAUUUUUUCUCGAAAUUUCAGUGUAAUCUACAAGUAGUGUUAAUUCCAGGGUCCUGUUUCCAGUGUAAUCCGCAAGAAUUACGAUUAUUUACACUGUAAUCCCUUGCUACUGUUGUAGUUCCAGUGUAAUUACUGUGUAUUUCAUCCCAUAUUUUCAGUGUAAUUAUGCUUUUGGGAUUAAUGUGUCCUUGUAGACAAGAAUUAUUUCAUCCCCAUAUUUUCUACCUGCUGUAGAUUCCCUUGUUCUAGACUGUAAUACUCCCUGUUCUUCACUGUGCAUGUGUAGUAGCACUGCCUUCAUCACAGUGUGGUUCUGAAUUUCUAUGUGUUGUAUCUCUGACUUAGACUGUAUUUUCCCCUAGUUUUCAUUUGCUGCAGUUUCAUGCCCGAUGCAUAUUUGUAAUGUAUUUCUGAAGUUCACUGUAUUAUGUUGGUGUGCUGCAUGUAUUGUUAUCUUGUGCUUCUUCACUGUACAUCCCCAAAGUUACACUGUAAUACCCCUUCACUGUAUUAUUGCUGUUAGAUGAUAGUUGUAGGUGGCUGGUCGUGAUUUCCCCUGGUAGCUGAGGUGUGUCUGAAUGUGUUAAAGUAAUCUCACUGAAUUUGAUGCUUCUAUUUCAGUGUUUUUACCCCCCCCCCCCCUAGACUGGUGUUUUCCACUGAUAUUUCCAGUCGAAUUUCAGUUUCCUUUCACUGUAUUAUUAGUUUAUUUUGUAGUCUAAUGUCAGUGUACUUACCUUGUAACUUGCAAUGUUAUAUGAGUGUACUAACUAUGUAAGUACACUGUAAUAUCAGUGUAUUUACAGUCUAAUAUCAGUGUAUUUACUUUGUUACUUGCACUGUAAUAUCAGUGUACUAACUAUGUAAUGGCACUGUAGUAUCGGUGUACUUACACUGUAAAUAACAGUGUAAUUUCAGUAAUUUUACUUCACAAUCCUAGUAAUUUCAACAGUGUAUUUUUAGUCGUGCAAGUGGAUCUCUUUGUAUUUGUAGCUCAAAAUUACUGUGGAUCUUACCCCUCAUAAUUUCAGUGUAACUACUGUCCCUGCUUUUACAGUGUAAUUCUCCCAUAUUUUUUUUUGUAAUUACUGUGUAAUUCUCAUGCCCAUGUUUUACGACUGUGUAAUUUACAGUGUUAUACUCCCAUAUUACAGUGCAAUUCUCAUGCCCAUGUUUGUAAUUACUGUGUAACAUGUCCUAGUAGUACUGUGUAAUUUACAGUGUAAUACUUCCAAAUGCUCCAGAAUUACUGUGUAAUUUAUCAUCCAAUUACAGUGUAAUUUGUCGUAACAGUACUGUGUAGUUUUCCCCCUAGUUCCAGUGUAAAUCUUUGAUUUACAGUGUCCUGAGAUAUGCAAGAUUUUUCAGUGUAUUAUGCCAUGGAAUCACUGUGUAAUUUGUCCUAGCAUUUACACAGUAAUUUUAGCCCAACUACUCAUGUAUUUUACAGUGUAUAUGCCCCGAUUUUACAGUGUAUUAUGCACUAGAAUCACUAUCUAGUAUGUCAUGAUUACACAACAAUUCUGGGAGGAAAGUUACCCCUUUUUCAGUGUAGUUUUAAUGUAGUUUUAUUCCGUAAUCAUCUUGCUUAGUUUAUGUUUUUAUAAUAUAUUUUUGCGCCUAUUUUUUGUAGUGUAAUGUUCAUGCUUUAGCUCUGUAAUUUUCAGGUUUAGAUUUAUGGGAAAGCUUCAGAAAGUCUCUCACCAGGAUGUUCCGUUAAUGUCAUCUUUUGAGAGUGCAGAUUCUAUUCGUGAACCAUUCGUGCCUAAUGACUUUGCGGAAGAUGGAUCAUAUCCAAUGUCUACGGAGCCUUUGACAAAGCUCUUUUCAAGUUCUAUGUUAAUCAAGUUGGUUAUCUGCUUCUUUUUUCUUGUUCUUGCUGUUUUAUGUUUGUUUGUUAUUUUCUCUUGUUGAGGUGACUUUUGGCUUUAUGUUUUUUCAGAAAGGAAAAUCACUGAAGAGGAAGUUAUCAUCUGUUCGUAGAAGAAAUGUGGAAUCUCUCAAUGUCUUCUUCAUCGAGGUAUUCAUUGUCAUCUUGUUCAUGUGAGUGCUCUGAUUCUGGUAUUUUUGUUUCUUCAUUGUUCUGGCAACUAUUGUUUUCUCUUGUUGCUGCUGAACUGGGGUCAUCAUCUUCAGCCACCUGCAUUCAUAGCAAUUUGCUUCAGUAUUUUAUUUCUUACUAGUUUUCAACUUCUAUGUAUGUAUCUUGUUAGUGAAUUUUGGUCUUUUACCUGUUCCACAUUUAUGGUGCCAAAAGGGUCUGCAUGCUAGGGGUUUUCUUCUGUUGCACCUUCUUCGGUUGGUGCAGUUUCAGUUUCCAUUUCGUCGAAUGUCUGCAGAAUAGUACUGAAGCUGAGGGGUGGAGAGGGGUUUCCCUUCCUUUUCCGUGCGUAGCAAGUUGAUGGCAAGCAGGGAAGUUGUGGCCAGCUGUUAGCUGUGGUCUAGGGAGGGUUUGGUGGGGCUGGUUUACUGGAAACCGGGGCAGGGUUAUGCCCGACCCGUUUUUGCCGAAAUACAGAAAAUAAAGUGGCUGGUGGGAGGGUUUUUUGGGACAUACAGGUGUCAUCUGUUCAUUUGCUAUGAAAUUUGAAUGUUGUCAAAUUGAAAAAUAGUCGAAUGUCAAAUAGACAGUCCCUAAAUAUAUCCCUCUUGUGUUCUUUUAGGAAAA